UACGUAGGGUGCAAGCGUUGUCCGGAUUUAUUGGGCGUAAAGAGCUCGUAGGCGGCUUGGCAAGUCGGGUGUGAAAACUUCAGGCUCAACCUGGAGAUGCCACCCGAUACUGCUAUGGCUUGAGUCCGGUAGGGGACCACGGAAUACCUGGUGUAGCGGUGAAAUGCGUAGAUAUCGUAAGGAAGACCAGUGGCGAAGGCGGGUCUCUGGACAGUUCCUGACGCUGAGGCACGAAGGCCAGGGGAGCAAACGGG
rnacentral:rRNA from 1 species